AACGAACGCUGGCGGCGCGUCUUAAACAUGCAAGUCGAACGAUCUGUAGCAAUACGGGGAGUGGCGGACGGGUGAGGAACACGUAGGAAUCUACCUUGAAGAGCGGGACAACUUUGGGAAACCGGGGCUAAUACCGCAUAGUACAGAGAUGUUAAAGGGCUAGCAAUAGUCGCUUCGAGAUGAGCCUGCGGUCUAUCAGCUUGUUGGUGAGGUAAUAGCUCACCAAGGCUACGACGGAUAGCCGGUCUGAGAGGAUGAUCGGCCACACUGGCACUGAGACACGGGCCAGACUCCUACGGGAGGCAGCAGUUAAGAAUCUUGCGCAAUGGGGGAAACCCUGACGCAGCGACGCCGCGUGAAGGAUGAAGG
rnacentral:rRNA from 1 species